ACUCAAAGGAAUUGACGGGGGCCCGCACAAGCGGUGGAUUAUGUGGUUUAAUUCGAAGCAACGCGCAGAACCUUACCUGGGCUUGAACUCUCACGAACCUGGUAGAGAUAUCGGGGUGCUCGCAAGAGAAUGUGAUGAGAGGCGCUGCAUGGCUGUCGUCAGCUCGUGUUGUGAAAUGUUGGGUUAAGUCUCGCAACGAGCGCAACCCCUAUCCUUAGUUGCCAGCAUUAAGUUGGGCACUCUAGGGAGACUGCCUGGGUUAACCAGGAGGAAGGUGGGGAUGACGUCAAGUCCUCAUGGCCCUUAUGUCCAGGGCUACACACGUAAUACAAUGGCCAGUACAGAGGGAUGCGAACUCGCGAGGGGGAGCAAAUCUCAAAAAGCUGGUCUCAGUCCGGAUUGAAGUCUGCAACUCGACUUCAUGAAGUUGGAAUCGCUAGUAAUCGCGGAUCAGCACGCCGCGGUGAAUACGUUCCCGGGCCUUGUACACACCGCCCGU
rnacentral:rRNA from 1 species